CCUUGAUUGCUAAAGUUUGCUAUCAGUGCAGAGCGUGUAGCUGAUAUUGUGUAUCAUCAAACUCGUUUCUUUAUCUUCAAAAGUAACACCUAAACUUGUUAUGAAUAAACAUAAACAGGGUGCCUGUUCCUCGUUUAUUAAAUAUAAGCUGUAAUAGAGAGAGUGAGCACAUACUUCGUAGCUGAGAAGCAAUGAUAAAUUUGUUCUCAGCCCAAGAAGAAACAUCUACUGAAUUUGGGGCAGAUGGAAGAAUAUGUGGCCUGAGCUCAAGAGUGACCAUAGUUUGAAACGAGAAGAUAUGCACAGAACUCCAUGAAGUCUUACAGCAAUGACACAACACUCAUUUUUUGUCUGCAUUAUCUGGUGGUCUUUCCUUCAGGAUAUAAGAAACACUGAAUGGUUAUGGUCCUUCAACCAGUUGACUUCCUCUCACUUCGACUUUACAAGAAGUUAUGACUCUGAGAGUGAGGGGCCUUAUGACAGUCCAAACUCCCAUUCCUCAGACCUGUUGCUCAGCCCAUCCAGUGAUGACAUGUCCCUGGCAGUUCAAGCUUUUUCUCAUGUCACUGCAUUCCUCAAGGGAACUCUUCAAUGAUUCUUUUUUUUCUCCCCUUCUUUUCUUAACUUCAGAAUUUUUGCACUGUGGAUCCACGGAGAGUACAGGCACAUAUCACCUGUCAGUCUACAAAUGUCCCAUCCUUCAUGACUUGCUGGCCCAGAGGAGGGAACUACAGUGCUGCUAAUUUCAGGUACCAGCAGCUUUCCUCCUGGUAGCCUUAUCAUGCCUGCUCCCCACACCGGUUGCCACCUGCUCCAGAGAUAUUGAUGUGCAGCCUGAACUCCAAUUGCAUGUCUGGUUUGUGGAUGCACAGAAAUUCCUGGUACCUAUGUCCAAAUUUAACUAUUUCAUUGCUUUCUCUGCAGGAUAUGCAUCUCUCCUCCUGAAGCUGGAUCUAAAGCACAGUGCCAGAAUCACUCUGAUGUUGUCUUCACCAUAACUAUAGCAUAAGAGUAGUCAAUUUACUGCAAUCCUGCACACCACUUAAAUAAAUUUCAGAGGGGAUAAUUCCUUUUAAAUAGA
rnacentral:lncRNA from 1 species